GGAGGAGGAAGGAGGGAGGCAGCGCUCCGGCGGCUCCGCGCCCCGCACUCCCGGACCUGAAGCCGGGAAGUUAAAUAAUGGCAGAGACAAGUCUGUUAGAUGCUGGGGCCUCUGCAGCCUCCACAGCUGCAGCGCUGGAGAACUUACAGGUGGAGGCGAGUUGCUCUGUGUGCCUGGAGUAUCUGAAGGAGCCUGUCAUCAUUGAGUGUGGACACAACUUCUGCAAAGCUUGCAUCACCCGUUGGUGGGAGGACCUAGAGAGGGACUUCCCUUGUCCUGUCUGUCGAAAAACAUCCCGCUACCGCAGUCUCCGACCUAAUCGACAACUAGGCAGUAUGGUGGAAAUUGCCAAGCAGCUCCAGGCUGUUAAGCGGAAGAUCCGAGAUGAAAGCCUCUGUCCCCAGCACCAUGAGGCCCUCAGCCUCUUUUGCUAUGAGGACCAGGAGGCUGUAUGUUUGAUAUGUGCAAUUUCCCACACCCACCGGGCCCACACCGUCGUGCCACUGGAUGAUGCCACACAGGAGUACAAGGAAAAAUUGCAGAAGUGCCUGGAGCCCCUGGAGCAGAAGCUGCAGGAGAUCACCCGCUGCAAGUCCUCUGAGGAGAAGAAGCCUGGAGAGCUCAAGAGACUAGUGGAGUGUCGCCGGCAGCAGAUCUUAAAGGAAUUUGAAGAGCUUCAUAGGCGGCUGGAUGAAGAGCAGCAGAUGUUGCUUUCACGACUGGAGGAGGAGGAACAAGACAUUCUACAGCGCCUCCGAGAAAAUGCUGCUCAUCUUGGAGACAAGCGCCGGGACCUGGCCCACUUGGCUGCUGAGGUGGAGGGCAAGUGCUUACAGUCAGGCUUCGAGAUGCUUAAGGAUGUCAAAAGUACCCUGGAAAAAUGUGAGAAGGUGAAGACCAUGGAGGUGACUUCUGUGUCUAUAGAGCUGGAAAAGAACUUCAGCAAUUUCCCCCGACAGUACUUUGCCCUAAGGAAAAUCCUUAAACAGCUAAUUGCGGAUGUGACCCUGGACCCAGAGACUGCUCACCCUAACCUAGUCCUGUCAGAAGAUCGUAAGAGCGUCAAGUUUGUGGAGACAAGACUCCGGGAUCUCCCUGACACACCACGGCGGUUCACCUUCUACCCUUGUGUCCUGGCUACUGAGGGCUUCACCUCAGGCCGACACUACUGGGAGGUGGAGGCCGCCCACUGUGUCCUUGCGCAGGACCCCACGAACCAGGCGCUGGCGAGGUUUUACUGCCACACGGAGAGGACCAUCGCAAAGCGGCUGGUCUUGCGGCGGGACCCCUCGGUGAAGAGGACCCUCUGUCGUGGCUGCUCUUCCCUCCUCAUCCCGGGCCUCACCUGCACCCAGCGCCAGAGACGCUGCAGGGGACAGCGCUGGACAGUACAGACUUGCCUAACUUGCCAACGCAGCCAGCGUUUCCUCAACGAUCCUGAUCAUCUACUCUGGGGAGACCGGCCUGAGGCCCAGCUGGGGAGCCAGGCAGAUCUCAAACCACGAGAGCCCCUGCCAAAUGCAGCUCACCCCGUUCCAGCCCACCUCCCUGAGGAGAAAGUGUAGCCUCAGAGCUCCAGUCACCAGUGA